GACGAACGCUGGCGGCGUGCUUAACACAUGCAAGUCGAGCGGUAAGGCCCUUUCGGGGGUACACGAGCGGCGAACGGGUGAGUAACACGUGGGUGACCUGCCCUCAGCUCUGGGAUAAGCCUGGGAAACUGGGUCUAAUACUGGAUAUGACUCCACGGUGCAUGUCGUGGGGUGGAAAGCCUUGUGCGGCUGAGGAUGGGCCCGCGGCCUAUCAGCUUGUUGGUGGGGUGANGGCCUACCAAGGCGACGACGGGUAGCCGGCCUGAGAGGGCGACCGGCCACACUGGGACUGAGACACGGCCCAGACUCCUACGGGAGGCAGCAGUGGGGAAUCUUGCGCAAUGGGCGAAAGCCUGACGCAGCGACGCCGCGUGAGGGAUGACAGCCUUCGGGUUGUAAACCUCUUUCAGCUCCGACGAAGCGGGAAGUGACGGUAGGAGCAGAAGAAGCACCGGCCAACUACGUGCCAGCCGCCG
rnacentral:rRNA from 1 species